rnacentral:lncRNA from 1 species
GACAUCGUGGGAGAAACUGUGGAGAAAACUGAGUUUAUUCCUCUCCUGGAUGGUGAUGAGAAAACCGGGAACUCAGAGUCCAAAAAGAAACCCUGCUUAGACACUAGCCAGGUUGAAGGUAUCCCAUCUUCUAAACCAACACUCCUAGCCAAUGGUGAUCAUGGAAUGGAGGGGAAUAACACUGCAGAGGACUAGAGUGUCUCUCCACACUGGGGCUGCUGCACCACCAGACCAGUGGUCUUUCCUAAGCACCGUUACACUUGUAAAAGCUUUGCUUUCCCUUCCUGGACACCAUGUAGAAGAAGCUGAGGGUAGUUCUCCGGGGCCUCUUUCUGCUGAUGCCUGAGCAAGCCACCUGCCUCUUGUGUUCUGCAGGGCUUGAUGGAACCUCCUUUCCCUUUGUGAGCACAGUGUGCAAAAUGAAUUCUUUUACUUUUACUAUUUUUAUAAAGGUCAUCAAAUGUCGUUUCUUUUCAUUAUUCUCUUUUAGAUUCAUUUUGUCAUUUUUACUUUUUUUGUUGGCCUUGUCCUUUUUUUGCAUAGUCAAUGUGAAUGAGCAUACUGUAAAAACUAAAUGAAAAUGUGUGCUUUCAUAAAGGGGUGAGGCCACCGAGCUGCAGCGAAUCUCCCUCUCCUGCCCCUGCCGUUUCCCUCUGUGAGCUUGCUUUUAGCCAAGCUUAGGCUCUCAGGCCACCAGUGUUUCUCUCCACCUUACUAAAAUCUGAAUCAGUGUUUUCCAGUUGAAAAAUUAAUUCUCUGAAUGAAAUUGUUCCUUAUGCUGGGUGUUGUGGUGAGUAACUUUAGUUCAGCAUUCGGAGGCUGACUGAUCUCUAUGAGUUCCAGCUGGCCAGGGCUAAACAGUGACACAAUCUUUUUUUUUUUUUUUCCUCCCAGUGUCUUAGCUGUUUUCGUGGUGGGCCAAAUUGUUUGUUUGUUUGUUUGUUUUUUAAUCAUAAACUAUAUUACCUAUUUGUCUUACAUUCUUCUGAAAAUUUGACAACACAAUUAUUGUAUAUUGGUUUUUUUUAAAUAACUUGUUACUUUUUGAACAUAAUCAUAAAGCAUCAAAGUAAGAAUUGGGAAGUUAAACCUGAAGACAGUUGUAAUGUCCUUGACCCCUGCAGUAGUGCAGUGGGCAGUGACAGGAUAAAAGCAAUUUCUCCUGAACAACAGAGAAGCACUGCCAGCUUAGCAAGCUUCCAAAGCAGCCAAGCCGAGGCUGCUGCACACCAGCCCCAGACACAGCCCCAGCCCCAGACCCUCACCCAGAGCCCACAUCUUUACUGUGUCACUCAGGCUGGCCAAGACUACAGGCAGGUGUCACUAUGCCUCGUUGUGGAGAAAUUGUCUGACUACUCACAAAGUGUGUGUAGGAUUAAAGGCUGUUUGAGCUCCAAAGUACUUUUUUCAGCAACAUUCCAAUAGAAUUGGUGGAUCACAUAUGAAGUCCUGUGUGUAAAAUCCUAUACCAUGAAAUGGGAAUUUAUAUUCUGUUUCAUUGGUACUUUUUGUUCUUCAUUUUUUUCCAAAGAAAUAAGUAAAAUUACAACAUAAAAGCUAGAACCAUUAGGAUAAGUACUGGGGAACCUUUGGUUUUUAGGAGUAGAUCACAAAUCCCAGGCCAUAUUUGAGAUCAUAGAGGAAUUCUGAUAUAAGAACUGAAGUAUGAAGAGUGCUUUUUAUUUCUGUCCUCUUGGUUACAGAAGGUAUUUCAGCCUCCAAGGUACUGAUCAAAAGAAAUAGCUUAUACUAUAUUUGAGGAACAUUACAGAGCAUUAUUUUUUUUGAUCUUCUGACCUAAAACUUUUGAAACCUGAGGGUAGUGACUUAUACUUGAGAUUUCAAGACUUUUGUAAGAAGAGUCAAGAAUUUUGAGAGGUAGGAAGCCAGUCUGAGCUAAGUAGUGAGGUUAAGGCUACCCUGAGCUAUGUGAAACCUUGUCUCAAAAACAAACACUCCCCUCACCCCCCAGUACUUUUACAAGGUAAAAUCAGAGUGACAAAUCAAAGGGUUAGGAAAGUUCCUGCAGUGCCUGCAUUCGGAGAAGCCCUGACUUCCACCUGAAUGACAUCACAAGGCUGGUGUCUUUGCUAAGUGCUCCCUCUGAAGGUCUAGACAUCUUCCAAGAUGUUCUUUUAAUUCCCCCCCCUUUUUUUAUUGGGGGCAGUGGAGUUGGUCAGGGAAGUUUAAAAAAAAAAUAAUGUCACCAUUUGCUUUUUUAAAUCAUGUUUGGUGUGUUUCUGUUGGUUUUUGUUUUUUGGUUUGUUUGUUUGUUUGUUUUUAAAAUGAGACUCCGUAGUUUUUCUGAGAGAUAGGUAGAGAUGCUAGGCAAUAAACGCUCAAAGUUCAUGAUCAACAUUGAUUUAUUCCACAUUUAUUUCCAUUUGUCAUUUUUUUAUUUUAAUGUGUUUUAUGAGUUUCUAUAAAUGUUCUGAUUUUCUGCUAAUAGCCAGGUGAAAUUUAAUAUAGUUUGUUAUCUUCAACUGUUGCAUUUGGAUAUUUUACUUUGAAAGCAUUAAGGUAAUGUUUCAUAUAUAGCAACUUAGGAAGUAAUCUGACCCUUGAAAAAAGAAAAAGUGGUUACUGUGACAGUCACAGAGCAGACAGGGCCUCUCUACUUAAAUGUGAUGAUUCUCAUUUCUCCCUCUACCCCUGCCUCACCCAAUAAUGAAGAUCUAGAAGCCUGUUCAUUUAUUUAUAUUUAUUUUUACAAAUUUAUAGUUUCAUUUGUAUUUUUUGUGACUUAGACUUUCAACAGUUUGUAUAUUGGGACAUUUUAUUGUGUCAUUGUGCUAAAUGAAUUAAACUAAUAAACAUUGUAUAUUAACAUAUUACUGGAUAUUUUCUGGGGUCUUAAUUAUUGAAGUAUACAACUAAGGUAUUUUGAGGUCUGAGUUAUCAGUCUAACAAAGCUUUGGAUCCCACAAUUCUGUAACUGCAUGAACUUUUGUCAAGCAUUUCCACUUAAACACUUCCAUUAUCCAGAUCUGAGCCGUGCAAAGCUCAAUUGACUCUUGGUAGUUCUAGCACCUGCUGCGUCGGCAGAAUGGUAAAAGGAUCUUCUAAAAGGCAGUGUCUGUGAUGUAUUGAUGAUUAAUUUAUAAUGCCAUAUUAUAAAAAUGUAUAUCUACAGUGUUCUUGAAAUACAUUCUGGGCUUAUCUAAUAAAAUGUGUUGUGUUUAGCAAUAUUUAAUAUGGUGACUUUAAUAAAGUUUAGAACGU